UACGGAGGAUGCGAGCGUUAUCCGGAUUUAUUGGGUUUAAAGGGUGCGUAGGCGGACUGCCAAGUCAGCGGUAAAAUUGAGAGGCUCAACCUCUUCCCGCCGUUGAAACUGGUGGUCUUGAGUGGAUGAGAAGUACGCGGAAUGCGUGGUGUAGCGGUGAAAUGCAAAGAUAUCACGCAGAACUCCGAUUGCGAAGGCAGCGUACCGGCAUCCAACUGACGCUGAGGCACGAAAGCGUGGGGAUCAAACAGG
rnacentral:rRNA from 1 species